CCGCGCUAGACGGGGAGGUAGCGGUGCCCUGUAACCUGCAACCCGCUGUAGCAGGGUUGAAUUCCUGGACCGAGGGCCCGUCUUGUGGGGUCCGGCUCGGGUAAGUGGCGAAGAUGUUUGGGUCCUGCGCAAUGGGACAUCCUGAACCGUGUCAGGUCCGGGAGGAAGCAGCACUAAAGGAUCAAUCCCGUGUGCCGCAGGGGAGCCUGAGCGGAGCUAACCACCCGAGUAACGCUCGGAAGGCUGGUUCGAGGCCAGGUGCGCGG
rnacentral:SRP_RNA from 1 species